rnacentral:rRNA from 1 species
AAAACUAGCCAGUCUUUUGGGUAUGAAACCCAUUUGGGCGAGAGUAGUAUUAGGAUGGGUGACCUCCUGGGAACUCCUCGUGAAAGGGUUUC